GGGGAUGAAGCUUAUAUAGCAAUUGGCUGUUACCUAAUAGAUAGUGAUUAUAUUCACCUACCCCA
rnacentral:tRNA from 1 species